rnacentral:rRNA from 1 species
UACGUAGGGGGCAAGCGUUGUCCGGAAUCAUUGGGCGUAAAGCGCGUGUAGGCGGCUUGGUAAGUCUGCUCUGAAAGCCCGGGGCUCAACCCCGGGAGGCGGGUGGAUACUGUCAAGCUCGAGUCCGGAAGAGGAGUGUGGAAUUCCUGGUGUAGCGGUGAAAUGCGCAGAUAUCAGGAAGAACACCAAUGGCGAAGGCAGCACUCUGGGACGUGACUGACGCUGAGACGCGAAAGCGUGGGAGCAACAGG